GCCGGGGACCCGGAGUCCUUGGCGGCCGGGGCUGCGACGGGGAAUUCGAGACUGUCCGAACUGGGCGAGGAGAAGGGCGGACCGGCAGAGGCGGGCAGAUCCGCAGGGAAACUGAUUUUUAUUAGCAUUUGGAGAAUCCCCUGGCGUGGACUACAGGACUGAAGGAGAACAGCUGAAAUUGGCGGUAUGGCCACCUUACUAAUUCAAGGCAAAGGGCUUGAGGCUCGAAGGUGAGAUUGCAGGGUGCUCUUUAGAAAGGUUUUAGAAGAAAGACAUCGUUAACUUUAGUUGCCAUCAGAAGACGGUUACCCUAUUUAGAGGCGAUUGGUAACUGAACAUAAACUUGUCUUCCUUAGGUGAAAAUUGUCAUCUAUGACCAUUUAAUUGUAUAAAAAUCUGAUACAUAUACCAAAACUGUUCCUUUGCAAGUUUUUCUUCCUCUGUUGACAAAAUAAGCAUAUAGAUGAUUACAUCUACUUCUUUCCCAAUAGUAGGGAACUUCUUACUUAGCGUUAAUUGAACACCCUAAAAGAUUAGGAGGUGAAAACAUUUGCCUCAUUCACUCAGUCUUGAGUCUGGGAGAUGUCUACUCAUUAGCAUACCUGUUGGCACAGCAGGCCUCAUCAUCAUUUAAGUAUCCAAAUAAUUCGAUUUUUGACUGGUAUUUAUUCAUGAUAUGUCAUGUAACACAAAGUACAAUGCAGAAUUGGCAGUUAUUUAGUUAAUUAUGUCGCUCUACACUGCCAACUAGUUUUUUCCUUCUUGAUUAAAUAAAAAAUGAAUUAUCUGCUGAAUUUUUACCAGUGUUAAGUUGACAUAGCCCUGAUAUAUGCCAUCCUAUUUGCAAACCAAUGUGUAAUUUAGGAAAAUUUUAGUAUUAAGAGUGAAAGCUGAUUGAGUCAUUAAUUAAAUGAAGUGAACAAAAGGAAGUUACUGUUCAGAAUAGUUAUUCCUUUAUAAAUACCUUUCUCCUAGAUUUGUAAUUGACACAGUAGUUAAUCUUUUAAGAUAAAAUUUAAGGCUCCCUGGUUUUAUUAUUUUUAAUCAAGUAAAAUAUAUUCAUCAUACCUGUGUUUAAGCUGUAGAAAGUUAUGCCUAAUUUAGUUGCUUCAUUAAAAAUUACUGAAUAUAAAAUAGUCAAGAAACAAAUUGUGACUAUAUCAUUUUAAUUUUGUUGCUUCAACCACAGACACAGGAAUAUUGAAAAUUCUAAAGGCUUUGUAAACAUUGUGUAAUUAUUAUUGUUGUUGUUAUCAUUUUAGAUUUCUAUUUCUGCUUAGCGUAAAGAGGAAUUUAAACUUUUGAAAAAAUUCAAAAAUUGAAACGUUUAUGUUAUUUUAACUUUCAAAACGUUUAUUGAAUUCUGAUUUUUUUUUAUUGCUGCAAUAGCUGUAAUCCUUGAAAAAGGUAGUCAACACAUGUAUAAAAAGUAUUUUACCCCCAUACAUUUUUAUAUCCUCCUUGUUUUGUGGGCUCAACAAGGUAUCAUUUUGCUUAGAACAUAUUUCUUAAUUCCUUCUGAGUAUUUUUGAAUAAAUUAUUAAUUAGAAAACUCUAUGUUAUUUCAUUUUUAAAAACUCACAUAUUCUCUAUAUGUAGUGAUGCAAAAUUGUGUAUUUUCUCUUUAAAUGCUGAUCAUUGGUUGUAAUGUGGAGGCCUGGGACAUUUUGGAUCUUUCUAAAAAUUUAAAAACUGAUUUGUUGAAAUUUUCUAAUAAUUUUCACAGUUAUUUUAACUGAAUGAAUCCCAUUUAUGUAAAAUAAAUACUAAGAAUUUGAAUGAAAGAAGUAUUUUCUAAGAACUCACAAAACAUGUACAUAUAAUCUGAUGGUUUUAUAACCUACCUGCCAGCAAAUAACCAUAUUUCAAGUGGGCAUAAUAAUAAUAUGUUAAUAUGCUGUCCUUGCUCACAUGAAGUACAGUAUCAGUAAUUUUAUUUGAAUGAUUACGUCUGGUUUCCUAUAAGCCUGAAACUCUGCUUUUCGAUCUGGGCUUAAAGGAUAGUCUAAGCUGAUAGUUACAUUUUGAUUAAAUGACAGUCACAUAGUGCUGUCCUCAAUCUCAAGAAUUGCAUAAUAUUCCACUUAGGCUUGCGUGCUCACCUGUUUUUCUGACACGUUAGCGUCCCUCAGGUUGAGCUGUACCACAGAGUAUUAAUGGCAACAAAUAUCCCAAAGGAGGCAAAGUUUUAGUGUAAGCCAACCAGGUAGGGUGACCACAGCAUUUAGAAUUAUUUCAGUCCUAAAAUACUUAAACAGGAAGUAUAGUUCAUGAUAUUCUGAGCUGGUGAGCCAGGGUAGUCCCUGGUCAGGGAAUAUUUGAAGUAAUUAUGAAUCUUGAAGGGACUUUAGCAAUACCAAUAACAGUGUUAUAUUUAGGAAUGACUGAAAGAUUAGGUAUGUUUAUUUAGGGAGCUGUGUGAUUGUGAAAGUUGGAAAAGAGAUAUAAAGCUGCUAUUAAAUAUUGUAAAAGCCAGAAAAAUUUAAGAACUUUUAACAUUCGAAGCUUUUUACAAGUGGGAAGGCUGAAGUACUGAGCUCUCUGUUGCUGAAGGCAUCCAAGCAAGUGUUGAAUGAAAGGUUCUGGUAGAGAUGCUCUAGUAUACAGAUUUCUAUACCACGUUGGAAGUUGUCUAAAUUACCUCCAACAUCAAUUGUAACUCUAAGUGUAAAGUUGGCCUC